AGAGAAGCAAUACCGCGAGGUGGAGCAAAACUUCAAAAUGGUCUCAGUUCGGACUNUAGGCUGCAACUCGCCUACACGAAGUUGGAAUUGCUAGUAAUCGUGGAUCAGCAUGCCACGGUGAAUACGUUCCCGGGUCUUGUACACACCGCCCGUCACACCAUGGGAGCUGGUAACACCCGAAGUCAGUAGUCUAACCGCAAGGAGGACGCUGCCGAAGGUGGGAUUAGCGACUGGGGUGAAGUCGUAACAAGGUAUC
rnacentral:rRNA from 1 species